UACGGAGGGGACUAGCGGUGUUCGGAAUUACUGGGCGUAAAGCGCACGUAGGCGGAUUUGUAAGUCAGGGGUGAAAUCCCGGGGCUCAACCUCGGAACUGCCUUUGAUACUGUAAAUCUCGAGUCCGGAAGAGGUGAGUGGAAUUCCUAGUGUAGAGGUGAAAUUCGUAGAUAUUAGGAAGAACACCAGUGGCGAAGGCGGCUCACUGGUCCGUUACUGACGCUGCGGUGCCAGAGUGUGGGGAGCAAACAGG
rnacentral:rRNA from 1 species